GAUGAACGCUGGCGGCGUGCCUAAUACAUGCAAGUAGAACGCUGAAGGAGGAGCUUGCUCUUCUGGAUGAGUUGCGAACGGGUGAGUAACGCGUAGGUAACCUGCCUGGUAGCGGGGGAUAACUAUUGGAAACGAUAGCUAAUACCGCAUGACAACAGUUAUUGCAUGAUAACUGUUUAAAAGGGGCAACUGCUCCACUACCAGAUGGCCCUGCGUUGUAUUAGCUAGUUGGUGAGGUAACGGCUCACCAAGGCGACGAUACAUAGCCGACCUGAGAGGGUGAUCGGCCACACUGGGACUGAGACACGGCCCAGACGCCUACGGGAGGCAGCAGUAGGGAAUCUUCGGCAAUGGACGGAAGUCUGACCGAGCAACGCCGCGUGAGUGAAGAAGGUUUUCGGAUCGUAAAGCUCGGUUGUAAGAGAAGAACGAGUGUGAGAGUGGAAAGUUCACACUGUGACGGUAUCUUACCAGAAAGGGACGGCUAACUACGUG
rnacentral:rRNA from 1 species